AACGCAACGCCUCCCACCCCAUUUCCGCGAAGGCUGCUCACCGGGUGUGCCCCAAGUUGCGCGCCCCGUCCCGGAACGCAGGCGCGGCUGUGCAGGCCCGGCUGUGCAGGCCCCCGGCUGGCUCCUCGGGGAGGAGGCGGCUGUCCUGCAGGAGGCGCGCUCCGGGCUGAGACCUGGGGCAGGAGCGCGUCACGGCGGGCGGGUGGGGCUGGCGGGAAGACCGCGAGGGAGGGCGCGUCUGGGGGCACCGGUGACCCGCGGGUGGGGGUAGAAAGCUUGGGCCGAGCCAGCGACGGGGAGAGUCGGCGAGUCCGCUUCAGAGUCCAGGCUGUGACAGGAGGGCAGGGGCCUGCAGGGAGCCUUAGGUGCGGCGCCGGCCCCCGGGAGCGGCAGGUACCGCGCGGCGCGACCCCGGGACCUCGGGCGCCGCGGGAGGGAGGCAGGGAGGGGCCCCAGCGAGGAGCCCAGCCCACCCGAGCAGGGUCAGGGUCACCCGAGGCGGCACCCGCGGAUCCCGGGCCACCACGCCGGCAGGAAGCCGUCCCAGGACCCAAAGGUUUCCUCAUUACCACCCCAGUCUCAAACUCUGGGCAUGCUGGCCUCUGCAACUAGCUUUCCCAUCCUACCCGACCUCGAGGAGUCUCCCUUUCCUCGCCCGCAUGUUCAUCUCUAAUGGGUGACAACACGCAGCCAGGGUCACACAGCCUCCCUCUCCUCCACGCCACCCCCCACUUAAAACCCAAGCCAACAGGG
ensembl:lncRNA